CGUUUCACGAUACACUGUCGGCACCACUUGCACCGUUUCCUCUCAAAUCUCUAUAAAUUCACUCGUCUUCUCUCUUGUAAAGCACACCUUUCAGCUCUCAACCCUUCACACUUUGAGAGCCAAAUCUUUCUUCUAAUCUGAACUCAUCAUCGCUUCCUGAAAAGGAAGAUGUAGUUCCAUAACCAAUUUUCCAAACUAAAGUUAGAAAAAUGCAGCAUCACAACCAGAUUCGCAAACACAGAAGCAAGAUUAUUCUUGAUCAUACUAUCCAGAAGCAAGAUUAUCCUUGAUCAUGCAAGACCUUCUCUUCCGUCUUGUCAACCCGGACGUUCCUCACAUCUAUCCUCAAUCCGGUGAUGGCAAUCUGUGACAGAAGAGAGAGAGCACCACGAUAUGAGUACCGCACUCAUAUCCUUUCCUGAUUGCUUGCCUCGCCUUCUUGGCUUUCUUCACCUUCCCCACCUUCCUCUCCUUCGAGGCUUCCAUGUUCUCAUUUGGCAAGCUUCCCACCAAGAUUAUCAGAAAACAUCAUCACAAAAGGGAUUUGUUGUACGAGAGAUUUUCCUAUAAUGAGAAAUGAAUAUUUUCCCUUCUUCAAGCUACACAUUUGUUUGAUCUAUUAUACUUCUUGUUAUAAUGAGCUUAAAAUAUUAUAUUUGAUAACUAUCACACGGUGCGGUAUACUUGUUUAAAUUUCAUGUCUAAUAAAUUAGAUGCUUCACAUAAAAAUCUGUGACGCUAGACUUAAGAAUUAGAAAUCUAAAUCUUCCAUUAGGUAAACUUUAUGCGAAGCAUAGUUUACGAAUUUCGGGGACGAAAUUCCAUUAAGGGGGGAGGAAUGUAGCGCCCCAGAUUUUUAGUAAUACAAUUAAUGUCUUAAACUAGAAUUUAAGAUUAAAUGAAAUAGACUGACGGAUUUAUUCAGUAGACUAAUUGGCAUAAUAAUAUUAAUAAAUAAUAUUAAUGUGUAAUAUGUGCAAUAUAUAUUUGGUUUAUAAAUUUAUUAUGUUUAAAUAUUAUUGAGAUAAUAAUAUUACCGAUGAAACAACUAGACUCAAAACGGAUUUAGAACAGUAUUUUUAUGAGACUGCUUGUAUUAAAAGACCCGGUUUUUAAAACACAAUCUGCUAAAAUCGUUAGCCGCCUCCUACGUCAUUCUUACGUUUUAUUCCAUUUAAACCUAUUUAAAUCAUUUCAGCAGUCGCACGUUGUUCCGAUUCCUCCACUCAGUUUAUUAAAAACACAGCCUGCCUCCACUUUGGUUCUAAUAUAUUUUCUUCAGCACGAUCGUCCUUCUCGGUGCUUAAACAAUGCAAUGCUAGCCUGUCUUCACUCAGACAGCUACAAAGCAGUUCAUCUCUGCUGCUGUAAUAAUGGCACCCUUCUCCCUCUUUCUUUAUUCCUUCUUUCUCCUUCUUUUAAGACCGAGACACAGCAUUGAGAUUGAGAGUAGGAGAGUGAGUUGAGAGAAAGAGAUGAGAUGAGAUGAGAUGAGAUGAGAAAUAGAAGCAAGCAAGAGAUUAAGAGUAAGUAGAGAAUUGAGAGAGAAGCAGAAUUUGAGAGAGAAAGAAGGAGUGAAAUGAAGAGAGAAACAGAGGCAGAGAGGGAGAUCCGGCCGAUCCUUCAGUAGAGUCCCGGCCGAUUGUAGCAGACCGAGAGAGAGAAGAUGAGAGACCCGAAGCCGUGAACCCCAAGCAAACCCGAAGAUCCGGCGUGAGCCCAGCCAAAACCCACAACUCAGCACCGAUGGCUGGCGGACGGCGUCACCCAGCAGAGCCCAUCCCAUCCCGGCGUGACCCAGGACCCGAUCGUGGAGCCGUGAACCACGACCCGUCCAACCCAGCCGUGAAACCAUGAACCCAACGAACCCGUGCGUGAUCCAGCCAUGAUCCAUGACCCAGCCGUGAAGACCAUCGAUCCAGAAGCCCAUUCCAGCUGCGAUUCAGACCAGACCCGUGAACCUCGGCCCAACCCAGACGAUCCAGCUGAACCCGUGAACCCCGGCCCAACCCGUGACCCGUGAGCCCAGUCCAGCAAGCAGUAGCUGAGCCCAGUCCAGCCCAUCCCAGCAAGCAAGCCCAACCCAGUCGGCCCACGAACCAAUUUCAGCCCAGACCCGCUGAGCCUGACCCAGCAGUGAUCCAACCAUGACCUGAACCCGGAGACCCGACCCGCCGGUGACCCGUCUCCGGCAGAGUCUUCCGGCAACUUUUCCGGUAACCUUUCCGGCGACUUCCCGUGACCAAACUCACCGUUUUCACUAGAUUUUCUAGUAAAAUCCUUAAUGUGAGUUUCUGGGUUUUUAAUUAACUUAAUGGUAUAUACUUACAUGAAAUCAAUUAAUAAGUAUUUUAGAUUAUAACUUUGAUAAAUAUAGAAUUGAAUAUUUUGAUAAAUAACUUAUUAAUGUAUAUUAUAUUUAUUGAGUGUUUAAAUCAUAUGUAGAAUAAUAUGGAAAAUGAAUAAUCGGUGCUAUUAAAAAUAUUAGAGGAUGGUUUAAGUGUUAAAACUAAGAAUAAUAAUAACAUUAGGCAAAGAGGUUUUAUAAAUAGAAUUAGGAUUUGUGCUAAAUGAUGUUAACACUUUGUGUGGAUAUACCUAUAAUUUUUCAGAUGAUGACUUGAGAGACUGCAUGAAUUGGCUGUUAAUAGACAAAGACCAGAACUCAAGAGGUUUUAUAGCUAAGGACGCAUAGUUUAUAUUUUGUUUGUAGUCUUCUGUGUUUAUAGCAUUUUAUAUUGACAAAAUUGCUAAUGAUUUAUAUGUAUUCUUUUGUGUCAUUAUGGACACCUGUUUCCUUGUAUUUGUUAUAAGAAUUUUCUAAUGAAUAUCUAGAGGUAUUUAAUUUAAAA